UACGUAGGGAGCAAGCGUUGUCCGGAAUCAUUGGGCGUAAAGCGCGCGUAGGUGGCCUCAUAAGUCCGCUGUGAAAGUCAAAGGCUCAACCUUUGAAAGCCGGUGGAUACUGUGAGGCUAGAGUACGGAAGAGGCGAGUGGAAUUCCUGGUGUAGCGGUGGAAUGCGCAGAUAUCAGGAGGAACACCAAUAGCGAAGGCAGCCUCGCUGGGACGUUACUGACACUGAGGCGCGAAAGCGUGGGGAGCGAACAGG
rnacentral:rRNA from 1 species